UGAAAGCUCAUGUUUUUCUAGAAUCCAUCUGCUAUUGCGAAAUUCAAAGCACCAAAAGAACUUAUUUUCAAAUAAAAUGCCUCACACUCGUGCAGCCUUCAAUUGUACAGCGAGAUUAGAAAAAAGCCAAAAGUUGAAAUUUCAUUCUUCACAGUUUUCCAAAGGAUGCGAAUUAAGGGAACAGUAGAUGAAAGCUGAAGAAGAAUUGAUUUCAACCCUUUUUCCUUGUUGAAAAUAUGCAGCAACCGUUUUCAUCAACAUAAUUUAUUAAUAUUCAUGGUACAAAAACUCUGAAAAAAGAUGUUAUUCCUUCAGUUUUCAGUUUCUCCAAUUAUAUGCCUGAAAAAUUAAAUUAUGGAGAUAAAUGUCUUGAAGAUAAUAUUGAAGAAAUUGAACAGGACCAGCCAGAGACAAAACAGCAAGAGAUGGGGCAACCAGAGACGGUACAACUGUUUAUAAUAUCAAAAUCCUCUGCUGCUGCCAUGGAAGAUUUUUCCCCCAGAUUGAAUACUAAUAUUAGAAAUACUAGAAAUUAGAAACCUGGGAAUGAGGAUUUCCAAGAAUGGAACACUAGACGAAGUAAUAUCUGAGAGAAACAUCCAAAGAAAACCAAUAAUCUCAAUGUUAAAUAGGAUAUUAUCGAUUAAAAACAUAAAUGUGAAUAAUAAGAAAAAAUGUACUCAAUAAUUAGGAGCAUAAUAACAUACAGCUCUGAAGUGAACAGCAGCUGGAAAAUCUGAAAGGGACAUGAUACCAAAUGAUACAAUAAGACAUAGAAUGGAAAUAAGACAUGAUAUUAUUGAUCUUAAGAACACAACAGUUGGUUUGGUACAGACAAGUCCAUAAAUACUUAUGAUACUAGGUGUGAUUUAAACGAUAAUAAUUUUUUAGAUUGCCAUACUAAAUGAGGAACAUAUUCUGUGCCGUGGCUUAAAAAUUCAUCUUUAGGGAAGCUCAUUCACUGAAAGGCUGAAAAUGGG